AACGAACGCUGGCGGCAGGCUUAACACAUGCAAGUCGAACGGGUGCAGCAAUGCAUCAGUGGCAGACGGGUGAGUAACACGUGGGAACCUUCCUAGGGGUACGGAACUACUCAGGGAAACUUGAGCUAAUACCGUAUACGUCCGUGAGGAGAAAGAUUUAUCGCCCUUAGACGGGCCCGCGUCGGAUUAGCUAGUUGGUGGGGUAACGGCCUACCAAGGCGACGAUCCGUAGCUGAUCUUAGAGGAUGAUCAGCCACACUGGGACUGAGACACGGCCCAGACUCCUACGGGAGGCAGCAGUGGGGAAUCUUGGACAAUGGGCGCAAGCCUGAUCCAGCCAUGCCGCGUGAGUGAAGAAGGUCUUCGGAUUGUAAAGCUCUUUUGCCAGGGACGAUAAUGACGGUACCUGGAGAAUAAGCCCCGGCAAACUUCGUGCCAGCAGCCGCAGUAA
rnacentral:rRNA from 1 species